AGAGUUUGAUCAUGGCUCAGGACGAACGCUGGCGGCGUGCUUAACACAUGCAAGUCGAGCGGUAAGGCCUUUCGGGGUACACGAGCGGCGAACGGGUGAGUAACACGUGGGUGAUCUGCCCUGCACUCUGGGAUAAGCUUGGGAAACUGGGUCUAAUACCGGAUAUGACCACAGCAUGCAUGUGUUGUGGUGGAAAGAUUUAUCGGUGCAGGAUGGGCCCGCGGCCUAUCAGCUUGUUGGUGGGGUAAUGGCCUACCAAGGCGACGACGGGUAGCCGACCUGAGAGGGUGACCGGCCACACUGGGACUGAGACACGGCCCAGACUCCUACGGGAGGCAGCAGUGGGGAAUAUUGCACAAUGGGCGGAAGCCUGAUGCAGCGACGCCGCGUGAGGGAUGAAGGCCUUCGGGUUGUAAACCUCUUUCAGCAGGGACGAAGCGUGAGUGACGGUACCUGCAGAAGAAGC
rnacentral:rRNA from 1 species